UACGGGGGGAGCAAGCGUUGUUCGGAUUUACUGGGCGUAAAGGGCGCGUAGGCGGUCAGCACAAGUCAGUUGUGAAAUCUCCGGGCUUAACUCGGAAAGGUCAACUGAUACUGUGCGACUAGAGUGCGGAAGGGGCAACUGGAAUUCCACGUGUAGCAGUGAAAUGCGUAGAGAUGUGGAGGAACACCGAUGGCGAAGGCAGCCUCCUGGGCCAGCACUGACGCUCAUGCACGAAAGCGUGGGGAGCAAACAGG
rnacentral:rRNA from 1 species